UACACACCGCCCGUCAAGCCACGAAAGGGAGGGGCAUCCGAAGUCGCCGUGUCAACCGCAAGGAGACAAGCGCCGAAGAUGAAACUCCUGAUUGGGACU
rnacentral:rRNA from 1 species